rnacentral:rRNA from 1 species
CCUACGGGUGGCUGCAGUGAGGAAUAUUGGUCAAUGGACGGAAGUCUGAACCAGCCAUGCCGCGUGCAGGAAGACGGCUCUAUGAGUUGUAACUGCUUUUGUCCAAGGGUAAACCUGAAUCCGUGUAUUCAGCUGACAGUACUGUACGAAUAAGGAUCGGCUCACCCCGUGCCAGCAGCCGCGGUAAUACGGAGGAUCCAAGCGUUAUCCGGAUUUAUUGGGUUUAAAGGGUGCGUCUGGGGAGUGAUAAGUUCGGGGUGAAAUGUCCGGGCUUAACUCGGGAACUGCCUCUAAUACUGUUGAUCUAGGGAGAAGAUGCGGUAGGCGGAAUGGAUGGUGUAGCGGUGAAAGGCUUAGAGAUCAUACAGAACACCGAGUGCGAAGGCAGCUUACCAAUCGAGAUCGGACGUUGAGGCACGAAAGCGUGGGGAGCAAACAGGAUUAGAUACCCUGGUAGU